rnacentral:rRNA from 1 species
UGAGCAAUCUGCCCUUCUCAUCGGAAUAAGCGUUGGAAACGACGUCUAAUGCCGAAUACGACCUCCUUUCGCAUGAUCGGAGGUGGAAAGCUCCGGCGGAGAAGGAUGAGCUCGCGGCCUAUCAGCUAGUUGGUGUGGGUAAUGGCCCACCAAGGCGACGACGGGUAGCCGGCCUGAGAGGGCGACCGGCCACACUGGGACUGAGACACGGCCCAGACCUCCUACGGGAGGNAG